UAAAUAUAGCUAGGGUACACUAUCUUUAUUUCUUCUAGAAUAUGGUAAAAAAUAAAAUAAAAUUAAAAUAAAAUAAAAUAAAUCACGUAACUUUUCAGAGGCUGACAGAGCAACCUUUGAGGCUCUUGAGUCUUUUGUUGGGAUCUAGAGUUGAUGGAUGGAUGUAGCUGUCUUUAUUUCAAUUUGUCUUUCCAGUGUGGGAGUGCACCUUUACUUUGCUUAUAGCUUAUGAAUUAGGUGGACAAAGUGCCAUUGAGAAGAAUGAAGUGACCGGAAUUUUUCUACAUCACCAGGUACAAGUGAUGUAGAAAAAUUACAGCAGUUUGUUUGACUUUGGCCAACUGGGAAUCACAAAGUGGCUUAUGGUAGCAGCAACUUUCCUGUGAAAAGCUUGGAGGUGUUACGUUACCAUCUCAAGACUCAUCUUGCUUCUUUCAGCAGAGCAAGGAAAGAAUGGAAAGCACACUGUGCAGCUGAAGUCACAAGACAUGUGGAAGGGAGGAGAGGAAAAUUGUAGGAAGUACACUUCAGAGACAUUGGUACAACACA
rnacentral:lncRNA from 1 species